rnacentral:sRNA from 1 species
AUUAUUAUCUAUUUACUGUGAACUGUAUUAUUAUUUGACAUUUGAGGGAUGUUCCAAUGUUAUAAGGAUAGACAUUGGAAAUGUUAACCGAGUCAUAAUCAGGUUUAGGCCUGGUAUCCUAUUAUUAUUUACCAAAUGAAUUCAGAAUUAAUAUUGUAACAUAGACCUAAAAAAUCUAUAAAACAACUUUUAACAACGGAUCUCUUGGUUCUCGCAUCGAUGAAGAACGUAGCAAAGUGCGAUAACUAGUGUGAAUUGCAUAUUCAGUGAAUCAUCGAGUCUUUGAACGCAACUUGCGCUCAUUGGUAUUCCAAUGAGCACGCCUGUUUCAGUAUCAAAACAAACCCUCUAUCCAACUUUUGUUGUAUAGGAUUAUUGGGGGCCUCUCGAUCUGUAUAGAUCUUGAAAUCCCUGAAAUUUACUAAGGCCUGAACUUGUUUAAAUGCCUGAACUUUUUUUUAAUAUAAAGGAAAGCUCUUGUAAUUGACUAUGAUGGGGCCUCCCAAAUAAAUCUUUUUUAAAUUUGAUCUGAAAUCAGGCGGGAUUACCCGCUGAACUUUAGCAUAUCAAUAAGGCGGAGGAAAA